CCAGUUAUGAGUUUUGUGAUCAGGGAAAACACCUUGAUGAGUCUUCAUAGAACAUUUUGGUGAGAAAGAGGACAGACUGUGGGCCCAAGCUGGAAGAGAAGACCAGGCUAAGAGGAACUGAAUUGCUUUGCAUAGCAAAGGAGCAGGGUAGGAGGCCCAGAAAGGAGAAGAAGAGAGAAAAGCCCAGGGUUCCCAGCUGAUAGCACUGACUGGAUGCAGACCUCAGGAAUGUUGGUUGGAGCUGAAUAUGGCUGUCCUUGUUUCAUGGAGCCUGGACCCCAUGGUUCAUCCUAGUCCCUCCUUGAACCCAUCCACUUUGGCUGCUUUUCUGUCCCAGGUAGGAUUUAGAAUUUGUGAUCCUCACUGGGCCUAGAGUGCAAUCACGUGCAAUCACGUGCAAUCAUAGGAUCAAGAAGGAACCUAGGAGAGACCCCCUCCAAUGACAGAGAAUGGCCAAUACCUUUGAGUGCCUGCUCUGUGUUCUAAGAACAGGCAACACUCUAACCUAUAGAGAUAGAAAUCAGAAUGGUGAUAGCUUUUGUGAGGGGCUGGCUUCUUGGGUGCUGGAAAUGUUCACUAUCUUUUUUUUUUUUUUAGACGGAGUUUUACUCUGUCACUCAGGCUGGAGUGCAGUGGCAGGAUCUUGGCUCAUGGCAACCUCCACCUCCUGGGUUCAAGCGAUUCUCCUGCCUCAGCCUCCUGAGUAGCUGGGAUUACAGGCGCCUGCCACCAGGCCCGGCUAAUUUUUGUAUUUUUUAGUAAAGAUGAGAUUUCAACAUGUUGGCCAGGGUGGUUUCGAACUCCUGACCUCAGGUGAUCCACCUGCCUCAACCUCCCAAAGUGCUGGGAUUACAGGCAUGAGCCACCGCGCCCAGCCGGAAAUGUUCACCAUCUUGACCUGGGUGGUGGUUAUACAGAGGUGUGGUCUCUGUGUGUUUCUGUAUAUAAGUCAAGCUGUACAUUUUAGA
rnacentral:lncRNA from 1 species